CAGGCGCGAGGGAGAAGGAAGCUCGCGACAGAGAUGAGAUGGACCUUCGUCAUCACCAUUGGUGUGGUCGGAGUCGUGGUCGUUGUUGUCGUCGAUUGAAGGUACCGCCGUCGUAGUGAAAGAAGCCCAAAGAGAGAGAUGAGCAAGGCCCGAAGAGAGUGAGCGUCGCUGCCACCGCCAUUGGAGAUGAACCCAGUUGUUCUCUUACUGUCGGAGGUAUUGUUAUCACUGCUCUGGCUCAAUUAUGUAUCGUUACUAUUGCUGUUUGGCUGCUGCUGAGGUUUUCUACCAUCACUGGAGCUGCCACAGAACCACCGUGGUUGUUGCCUAGGAAACGGAACGAGUGUGGGGAUUGCUAACGGAGCUGCCGUAUUUGGCGAUUUUCGCAAUAUUCGACAUUGAGGUGAGAACCCUGCAGAGGAAGCCAAGAAAAGCAACCACGUGCAGAGAAAAAUCGAGAAAUGCCAGAAAGAUCGUAAGCUUGAUCCUCAUGUUGAAGAGCAGUUUGGUGGUGGGAGAUUGCUGGCUUACAUUGCUUCUCGACCUGAUCAAUGUGGCAGGGAUGACGGCUAUAUUUUGGAAGGCAAGGAGCUUGAAUUUUAUAUGAAGAAAAUCCAGAAGAAGGGAAAGGGUGCUGCUUGAUUAUUCUAUUCUCAUACUUGUAUUUUGGAUGGGAUGGAAUAUGUCUUAUAAUGACUUUAGUUAUCUACAUGUAAUAUUUUGAUGUGUUGUGUACUUUUUGAAAAGAGAUUUUAUCUGGUAUUACAUGUAAUGGACAAAUUACACUCUAUUUUGA